ensembl:lncRNA GAS6-AS1 GAS6 antisense RNA 1
CGUGUAAGAAGUGCCUUUUGCCUCCCACCGUGAUUCUGAGGCCUCCCCAACCAUGUGCAAUUGCACAGGCCCAGGCUGAAGAGGAAAGACAAGAGCCGCCCUGCCCAGAAACGUCCACAUGUGGGUACUGCAUUCCUACCGGUGUGACAGCUUGAGGCCCCCACGCCCGUCACAGUGGCAGGUGUAGCUCCCUGGGGAGUUCACGCAGACCUGCUCACAGCGGCCCUGCAGACACUCGUCCACAUCUGCCAGCCAGAGGGAAGCGGCGGUGAGCCGGGGAGGCCUCUACGCUGUCCCGCCGUGGGAUCACACCGCGAUUGCUCAAACCACACGCAAGGUCCUGCCAUCAGAGGAGAGCUCGAAGCCGCUGUGGCAGGAACAGUGGAAGCUACCCGGCUUGUUGUGGCAGAUCUGGAGGCAGCCCCCGUUCUCCUGGCUGCAUUCGUUGACAUCUGGGAACAAGCACAGGCCUGAAGGGGAGCCCAAGGGUGCACAGCCCCUGGCUACGGAGGAGGCUGCAGGCCAGGAGUGACCUCUGGGUGCCGAGGACAGACAAGGCCAGGCCAGAGCUGGCCACUCCUUAGCAAAGCCCUCCCAGGCCACCUGUGGGGUAGGAUUUGCCAAAGGGGACAGGCUGGCCUGCUGGGCUCUCCACUAUGGGUCUCCACCAGGCCCUGGAGCUAUUCUUCCUCCAGGGUCUUCACUGACACCACAGGUCUACACUGAAGGACGGUCAGAGGUGAAAUCUCCCCCCGGCCUUUCAAUCAGUGGGUGCCACUGACACCACAGGUCUGCACUCAAGGACGGUCAGAGGUGAAAUUUCCCCCCCGCCUUUCAAUCAGUGGGUGCCACUGACACCACAGGUCUGCACUCAAGGACGGUCAGAGGUGAAAUUUCCCCCCCCGCCCUUCAAUCAGUGGGUGCUGAGGCAUCACUUGGUGUUUCCUUUCCUUCCAGCCCUGCUCCCAGAAAGGAGACUGCAGCUCCUCCCAAUUCUCCUGGGGCUCCAGGAUACCUCAGGGCUGCAGCCUCCUUGGGGCUGUCGGAGAGCAGCCUGAGGAUGGCCGUGCCCCGGAGUGGGAGUGAGGAGCGGGGAUCAGGGCAGGGUCGGAGAUGGAGGGAGACCCCGCCUUUGUCUUCAGCCUCACGUACCUUUGUCGCAGAGCCGGCCCCCCCAGCCAGCUUUACACAGGCAGAAGAAGUUGCCCAUGAGGUCCUGGCAGGCUUGGGUCCCCUUCCUAUCGCAGGGGUUGGGCGUGCACUGGUCAGGCAGGUCUGAUUGGGGACACAAAGUGGAAAAUCAUGUUCAGCUGCCCCACCCCUGCGCGCCCAACGCAGCUGAGAUCGGGGCGGCUGUGGGGUCUCGGGUCCAGCCCGGAGGAGCUCUGAGGGGCGCAGGCUGAGGCAGCCCCUGGGCACCCGAGCCCUCUGUGCUGGCCUAGGGCUGACAGAAUAGGCUGGCGGGCCCUGGGGCCGGCUCCAGGAAAACUCAGAUCAACUGGGAGGGAGUGCCAGCAGGCCUGGACGCAAGGUGGGAAGGGCUGAGGGCAAAGGAGCAGGAACUGCCUGGCGUGAGGCCUGGGAGCUCAGACCUCCCAGGGAGUAGGCACACAGAACCCCCAGCUGACCUGGGGGCUUCCAGGCAGACUCGGAACAUUCUGCCUUCCCUGGCCAGCCCCUAGCCCAUCUCUGGUGAACUCUCCCUGCUGGGUGUGGCGGGGAGGACCCCAGGCCCAGGCUGCACUGCCAGAGGGGUCCUCCAGGAAGCCCCCCUCUUUCUGCUUAGCUGCCCCCUCUCCACGUGUCUUGAUGGCUUUAGGCCAGGUGUGUUCUGCCCUUUCUCAGGGUGGUCACCUGGGCUCAGCUCCUGCAGGGCCAGAGGUCAGGGGAACGGGUGAGGGCCUGAGGGUGGGAACCCGUGCCAGUGCAGCUGCUUCCCAAGCAGUCCCCCAUCCGAGAAGCUGCUCACAAACACAUUCAUACGAGGAGCUGCUCACAAACACGCUUCCAGGACACGGACCCAAACCACGUCCCAGAGGCAGGCAGGGAAGCCCCCGACAGUGCAGUUACGCAAGCCUGAGCCCCGGGAAGUUGGCAGAAAGAACGACAAUUACACCCGGAGCUCAAAGAAUCCUUUCAUGGCUGCUGGCAGAGCAGAAGCAGCUCGGGGCUGAGCAUGGCAGUGCUCAGGGGCGCGGUCCACACUCAGCUCAGCCCCACAUGAGGACUCAGCCACGCUCAGCUUAGCCACACAGGGCUCCGUGGGGAACCCUGGGUAGGGCCCCCCUGCUGGCUGAGAGAGGGCUCCGGUCCAUUGAUUCCACACAAGUUCAAUAAGGACCAGUCCCUGGGAAAAGUGCAGGCCGGGCCAGCAGGGCCCUAGGGCACUGGGCCAGCAUCGUCCUAAGGGGUCAGCCCUGGUGGGGGCACGUCGAGUCUUCAGUGCAUGGGCUCUCACUGCCAGCGUGUCGCUUCUGUUCCUGAGGCUCCCAAGGUGACGUUUCCCACCAGGUCUGUAGAAUGUGGCGUUUCCACCAGAGGGUCUGGGCUCGGCUGUCAGUGCAGGAGCCGCUUCCAUCCCCACCUGGCCGGGGUCAGGGGUGCCCGGUGCCAGGGUGAGCGGCGGGCGGGUCUGUGGUUCACAAAGCUGAGUUCCUCCAGCUCAUCCAGGGCUUACAGUCACUGCCUGUGGCCGGCACAGACACAGCCCCUGUCCUCCUAGGCGGGUCCAGGCACCGCGCUCACCAGAGGCCCUGGCUACGAGUCCCAGGCUUCUUGGGGAAGCUGCCCAACCACACUGGCUUCUUUCUGCGACGCUUCGCCGUAUGCCUCACAGCGUUUCCUCCGUAUGCCUCACAGUUUGCUCCGUACACCCGCGUUUCCUCCGUAUGCCCCAGUUUCCUCCAUAUGCCUCAAUUUCCUCCAUACGCCCCACAGUUUCCUCCGUAUGCCCCAGUUUCCUCCAUACGCCCCGGUUUCCUCCAUACACCCCACAGUUUCCUCCAUACGCCCCACAGUUUCCUCCAUAUGCCCAGUUUCCUCCAUACACCCCACAGUUUCCUCCAUAUGCCUCAAUUUCCUCCAUACGCCCCCCAGUUUCUUCCAUACACCCCACAGUUUCCUCCAUAUGCCCAGUUUCCUCCAUACACCCCACAGUUUCCUCCAUAUGCCCAGUUUCCUCCAUACGCCCCCCAGUUUCCUCCAUACGCCCCACAGUUUCCUCCAUACGCCCCACAGUUUCCUCCAUACGCCCCACAGUUUCUUCCAUACGCCCCACAGUUUCCUCCAUAUGCCCAGUUUCCUCCAUACACCCCACAGUUUCCUCCAUAUGCCUCAAUUUCCUCCAUACGCCCCCCAGUUUCUUCCAUACACCCCACAGUUUCCUCCAUACGCCUCAAUUUUCUCUGUACGCCCCACAGUUUCCUCCAUAUGCCUCAGUUUCCUCCAUACGCCCCAGUUUCCUCCAUACGCCUCAAUUUCCUUUGUACGCCCCAGUUUCCUCCAUACGCCCCAGUUUCCUCCAUACGCCCCAGUUUCCUCCAUACGCCUCAAUUUCCUCUGUAUGCUUCAGUUUCCUCCAUACACCUCAGUUUCCUCCGUCUGCCUCACAGUUUCCUCUAUAAGCCUCAGUUUCCUCAGUACACCCCACAGUUUCCUCCCUACACCUCCGUUUGCUUGUUUUGCACAAAUGACUGACAACAGAACACUUGUGGGUGUGGACGGAGCUCGCGUCUCGAAGUGUUUCUAAGAUGCUAUUUUCAGCAGGUCACUAUAAACGCUUUCUACUCUGAAGCACACAGGGGCUGGGGCUGGCCUUCGGAGUUACGAGGAAACGAGGACCAGGACCAGGGAUUCUGCAUCAGCACAGCCGCCAGGAGCCGGCCGGGGCCCCAUCCCUGACACUGCUGUCGCCCGGCUGUACCUGGGUGCUGUGUCCGCGGGGCGUCUGGAGACGUCGAUGUGGUCAUAGCAGGGCCUGGAACGGGGAGGUCUGGCCUGAACUAGAGAAAUGAGGGGCGUAUCCGCUUCUCCACCCUGGCCUCAGAUGAAGAGGCUCUGGGGGCAGGAGGGAGUCAGACACGUGCAGGGCAGGCGGCCUGUGCAGGGCCCAACCCUCCGGCACCAGAACCUGACCUCCUCAGAGGCCCCCACCAUGGAGGGAUGUCUGGGGGAUGCUGUGCGCUGCCGCUACGAUGUUUGGUUAGAGAUUAAAGCCAUUUCAGAAGUGGACACCUGCCCAUGUGAUGCAAAGGGCUGGGAACCCGGUCUUGACUUUGCCUGGAAUGCCUUUCGGAAAGACCUCUGUCCCUGAGGCUGAGGGACAGUGCCUGCUCCUGCCAGGUGCCCAGCUCUUAAGCGGUCCCCAGACUCAUGCCACCUGCCCCGGGGCCUCCCCCAACUCAUUUGUUUAUUUCCCUGUUGGGAAUGUAUUGAUACCUCUAGGAUGCAAGGACGGAACCACACCUGAGGGGUGGACAGUCAGCCGGUGCCCAGCAAAUAUCUGUGGAAUUUCCUCCACACAACAGGGAAAGCGAUGGAGACAGAAACCUCUGCAGGCCCCCGAGGGCACCCACUUCCCUGACCCCGUCCACCUCCCUGACCCCCGCCCACCUCCCUGAUCCCCAUCCCGCAAGCUGGGCCUAGGGUAUCGGUGGCCUGGCUGGUCAUGCCCUGGGCGCCAGCGCCUGUUCAGGAGGUGAAGGGUUUAUCUCAGCUUGGCCCAUGACUGCGUUGAAGGACAGGAGGGAGCGGCUGUGGCUGUGGCUGGAAUCUGAAGCCGGUGCGGGCGGCCAGGGCCUUUCCCUGGGUGGUGACGAGCGAGGACCAGAGCCCUGUCUGCCCGAGGGAAGGGCGAGGGGACACUCCCCGUGGCGGGGGUGGGAUCCCGGUAGCCGGGGCUCAGUGACCGCUGCCUGGGCCACCGCCUGUGGGGACCUGACCUUCCUGGGGAAACCCAUGGGUCAAAGGAGCCGAGAAAUCCAAGCACCAAGUGGCCGCUAUGGCAGGACGGGCGCGUUCGCAGUGGAGAAGCUGGGUGUGUCCGUGGGAAAGGAAAGAAAUGGAAGCAGAGGCUCUUCAGGGGCACCUGGGAACGCAGCCUACACUCUUCCCAGGCCUCCUCCCUCCGUCCACUGUGCCGCCUGGGUCCUGGGACAGCCUGAGGGCCGCAGGCUCCCAUGCAAGGCCCGCUGGGGGCCUGCUUGUCUGGGGCUGAAUUUGGACUUUAUGGGGCUAUGGCUUUAAUUUCACAAUGACCGAUAACCAGUGAACUGAAGCCAGGACAGCACCGUGAGCACCAAGUCAGAGAAUUUUCACGAGGGAACCAAUGAACAGGAACAGAGUGUGAGGCUGCCCCAGCUGCAUCCUCCGGGAGGCGCCUUCCCAAGGGAGUGCAAGGCUGCCUGCUGUGGCCAGGCCACCAAAGCACCUUCUUCACCGCCAGGCAUCUUUUGAGGCACGCGAACAUCAGAGGCCCCAGCCACGUGCUCUGGAGGAGAAGCUGAGAGCCCCAGGCCACAGGCAGGGCAGCCUCUGAGGGCCGGCUCAGGGAGAGUGGCCGGAGCUUCUGGCCUGGGGCAGGUGGACCCGUUAGAAACUGCAUGUGUUGCCUCUGGCACCAGCCACAGCAAGAGAUUCUCUUCCUAUCACACAGGGAACAAACUCAAGGAUCUUGACCUUGCCCUCCUCUCCCCAGCUGGCCGCACUUGGGGACGCUGAUGCCACAAAGGAAAUAACCAAAACAAGAUAACUCUAUUGGGCGGCGGGAACAGAAAGGAACAUGUAGCAAUCACUCCUCUUCAUCCAUGCAAGGAAGCGAGGCGACGCCUUGAAAAGGACGGCCUUCUUUGCUGCAAAUAGCCAGAAGUGAACUGAGCAAAGGAAGCACGGGACGCACAGGAAGAAAAGUGCUCCAAGGGACGGACAGGACGGUGCCGGGGUUAGGAAAGCGCAACACUGUUCAGACACAGUCUCCGAUAUAUGAAUGGCAAGCCCAGUUAAAAAUAUCUAAAGGGCUUUUUUAGGUUUUUAAGAAUAUUUUUAAGGUUUAGUUUUAUUAAAAAAUAAGCAAGACAACCAGAAAAAAGACUGAGGAGGGCAUAGGAGACCCACCCGCGUGCAUGAGGCCGAGUCUAAAGCUGUGGCCACGGCCUGUGGAAACCCGGCAGAAAAUCUCCCAAAUACCCAGCAUAUGAGGACGGCAGCAGGUGAGGCACUGGGGUGAGACAGACUCAAAUGUGUGGUGUUGGGGCAGGAACUGAGCCUGCAGUCUAGAUCCCCACCUCAUCCAUCACGUCAAAAGAAAUUACGGGCGGGUCACAGAUGAAAACACCUAACAGCAGGUAACUGUUUUGUAAUCUUGGGGAGAAGCCUAAAGCCCAGGAACUAAGAGAGUAUAACAAGUGUGAAUACAGAAUUUAAAAGAAGAGACUGGUUUAGCAAUCACUAAGAUAAAACACGCGUGACAGGAUCUGCUUGUCUCCUCUGAGCACGCAGGAGCCUCUGCCCCAAAUGCAGACAUUGGGCCCUACGUGGCACCUGGCUACUGUGCAUGGUUGCAGGUCAGGGCAGGCCGGGCCACAGGGCAGGGCCACCCUCCCAUUCCCAUGUUUACACUGAGCAUUUCCUCUGCCUGUGUCUCUUGGGCUGGGGUCUGUGAUACAAGUCCGGGAGGCCAGAGACGCCCACGGACAGUGCGUGGGGCUUGGGGAGCGGGACUGAGCCACCUCUGACUCCUUCUGCUGACUGGGAUCCAGCUCCAAAGCCAUGCCUGGGAAGAGACUCCUGCCUCUCCCAGGAUGACUCCGUCCCGCCACGCCUCUGCUCUCAGCGCCCACAGGGACUCACCAAGCUGGACUUUCAUCUAAAACUAGACACACGUGACGCCAGCGGACCACAGACCCAGUGCAAGGGGAGCUGUGUGGGUUGUGCUGAAGGUAUGUUAAAAUUCAUACAGGACACCCAAAACAAUCAAUCUUAUUGCAUGAUAAUUUUAAAAUAAUAAAAAAGACUUGUGGCAAGCUGAAAAAAUUUUUGAUAACUUUACUACCAAUGGCUAAUGUGCAAACUCCUACAAAUUGAGAAAAACAGGCAAAAAAUAUAAACAACAGUUUAUAGGAAAAGAAAUACACAGUUUUUAAACCUAUGAAGGACAGCUUUACUCAUUAGUU